UACGGAGGGUGCAAGCGUUAUCCGGAUUUACUGGGUUUAAAGGGUGCGUAGGUGGGUUUGUAAGUCAGCGGUGAAAUCUCCAGGCUUAACCUGGAAAUUGCCAUUGAUACUAUAGAUCUUGAAUUAUCUGGAGGUGAGCGGAAUAUGUCAUGUAGCGGUGAAAUGCUUAGAUAUGACAUAGAACACCAAUUGCGAAGGCAGCUCACUACGGAUAUAUUGACACUGAGGCACGAAAGCGUGGGGAUCAAACAGG
rnacentral:rRNA from 1 species